UGAGCAAUCUGCCCUUCUCAUCGGAAUAACCAUUGGAAACGAUGGCUAAUGCCGAAUAUGACCUCGGAUCACAUGUUCUGAGGUGGAAAGCUCCGGCGGAGAAGGAUGAGCUCGCGGCCUAUCAGCUAGUUGGUGUGGGUAACGGCCCACCAAGGCGACGACGGGUAGCCGGCCUGAGAGGGUGACCGGCCACACUGGGACUGAGACACGGCCCAGACCUCUACGGGA
rnacentral:rRNA from 1 species